rnacentral:lncRNA from 1 species
UAUAGAAUGAGGCUGGAAUUGAUGACUUCAUCAAAGGAAUGGGCAUCAUAGGAAUUCUUUAUGACUUUCAGAGUUCUCUAGGACAUUGCAUCUGACUUGGCCCUAAGUGAGGAUGCUCCUCCGGAGCCUCUGUCAGACGUGUGGGGAGAUGUGGAAGAAGAAAGAGGAAAGCUAAUGGCUGUGAACACGAGCUUCCCUGCAGCAUCAUGGUCUUCUCUAGCCACCUUUAUAGCUGUCCUCUCUUCAGCUUCUGUAACGUGGAGGGACAUCUGGCUUCCCAGCCUGUGUGCAGAACCGCUGCACUAGACUUCUUUGUACCAAAGGAGAGGCCACUCCAGAUGCCAGCAGCGGAGCCUGCAGGCUGCUCACCAAUCAACCUUCCAAGCCAAGCCAGCUUCCUAGGACUCUCUUCAACGUGAGAGGAUGGCCAUGAAAAACUAGAAUCUGACCUAAGCCAAUGUCUUCAGAGGGUUGCUGAGGAGCAGGCAGCGGAGCAGAGCCCUGCAAUCUCUCCAUCCCACCGCCCAGUCCUCUGGAGGAAGCACACCUUCUGUUUGUGUCAGAGGGGUUAAUUAACAAGAGUCAAUGUCGCUUUCAAUAAUUACGAAGUCUCAAAAUUUGUGGAAGGCACAAUGAAGGCGUGGCAGCUGUACCAAAAUAAAUCUGUCUCUGACCAUGCAGCCACAGCUGUUCUAUCUCAAAAAGAAUUUUCAAAUCGCCUUGGCUUCUCAUAAGCCUGAGAAAUGAGUAUCACUCAAUUCUGCCAGAGUCUGUGGGACUUGAAAACAGGAACAAUGGUC